rnacentral:rRNA from 1 species
CAGUCGCCGCGGUAAUACAGAGGGUGCGAGCGUUAAUCGGAUUUACUGGGCGUAAAGCGUGCGUAGGCGGCUUUUUAAGUCGGAUGUGAAAUCCCUGAGCUUAACUUAGGAAUUGCAUUCGAUACUGGGAAGCUAGAGUAUGGGAGAGGAUGGUAGAAUUCCAGGUGUAGCGGUGAAAUGCGUAGAGAUCUGGAGGAAUACCGAUGGCGAAGGCAGCCAUCUGGCCUAAUACUGACGCUGAGGUACGAAAGCAUGGGGAGCAAACAGGAUUAGAUACCCCUGUAGUCCCUGUCUCUUAUAA